AGCAAACGCUGGCGGCAUGCCUAACACAUGCAAGUCGAACGAGACCUUCGGGUCUAGUGGCGCACGGGUGCGUAACGCGUGGGAACCUGCCCUUAGGUUCGGAAUAACUCCCCGAAAGGGGUGCUAAUACCGGAUAAUGUCUUCGGACCAAAGAUUUAUCGCCUUUGGAUGGGCCCGCGUUGGAUUAGCUAGUUGGUAGGGUAAAAGCCUACCAAGGCGACGAUCCAUAGCUGGUCUGAGAGGAUGAUCAGCCACACUGGGACUGAGACACGGCCCAGACUCCUACGGGAGGCAGCAGUGGGGAAUAUUGGACAAUGGGCGAAAGCCUGAUCCAGCAAUGCCGCGUGAGUGAUGAAGGCCUUAGGGUUGUAAAGCUCUUUUACCCGGGAUGAUAGUGACAGUACCGGGAGAAUAAGCUCCGGCUAACUCCGUG
rnacentral:rRNA from 1 species